AAUAACUUUAUUUUUCGUUUUUCCGUGUCCAACUUUUGACCAUUUUUCUUAUUUGAAUUUUUUUAAGAUUAAUAUUUUUAUUAUUACUAGAUGAUAAAAUAUGAAUAGUACUUUAUACGUGACUAAUUUUUUUAAGUUUUUGUACAAAUUUUUCAAAUAAGACGAAUGGUCAAAUGCUGGACACGGAAAAAUGAGAUUAUU
rfam:Oryza brachyantha chromosome 11, whole genome shotgun sequence.